AACGAACGCUGGCGGCAUGCCUAACACAUGCAAGUCGAACGAGACCUUCGGGCCUAGUGGCGCACGGGUGCGUAACGCGUGGGAACCUGCCCUUAGGUUCGGAAUAACUCCCCGAAAGGGGUGCUAAUACCGGAUAAUGUCUUCGGACCAAAGAUUUAUCGCCUUUGGAUGGGCCCGCGUUGGAUUAGCUAGUUGGUAGGGUAAAAGCCUACCAAGGCGACGAUCCAUAGCUGGUCUGAGAGGAUGAUCAGCCACACUGGGACUGAGACACGGCCCAGACUCCUACGGGAGGCAGCAGUGGGGAAUAUUGGACAAUGGGCGAAAGCCUGAUCCAGCAAGGCCGCGUGAGUGAUGAAGGCCUUAGGGUUGUAAAGCUCUUUUACCCGGGAUGAUAAUGACAGUACCGGGAGAAUAAGCUCCGGCUAACUCCGU
rnacentral:rRNA from 1 species